rnacentral:rRNA from 1 species
UACGUAGGGCGCAAGCGUUGUCCGGAAUCAUUGGGCGUAAAGAGCUCGUAGGCGGCCUGUUGCGUCCGCUGUGAAAUCCCGGGGCUUAACCCCGGGCGUGCAGUGGAUACGGGCUGGCUGGAGGCAGGCAGGGGGGAGAACGGAAGUUCCCGGUGUAGCGGUGAAAAAUGCGCAGAUAUCGGGAGGAACACCGGUGGCGAAGGCGGUUCUCUGGGCCUGUACUGACGCUGAGGAGCGAAAGCGUGGGGGGAGCGAACAGGAUAGAAACCC